UACGGGGGGGGCAAGCGUUGUUCGGAAUUACUGGGCGUAAAGGGCCAGUAGGCGGCCAACUAAGUCGGAUGUGAAAUCCCCAGGCUUAACCUGGGAACUGCAUCCGAUACUGGAUGGCUUGAAUUCGGGAGAGGGAUGCAGAAUUCCAGGUGUAGCAGUGAAAUGCGUAGAUAUCGGGAGGAAUACCGAUGGCGAAGGCAGGUCUCUGGGCUGACACUGACGCUCAUGCACGAAAGCGUGGGGAGCAAACAGG
rnacentral:rRNA from 1 species